rnacentral:tRNA from 3 species
AGUCAAUGAACUUGUAUAAGUGUGUAUUUUGAAAAUACAAAAAAGAGUAAAUUCUCUAUUGACUU